rnacentral:lncRNA from 1 species
ACUACUACACACACAUCCAUCGACCACUCUUAACCGUCUGUCCAUCCGAACGAUGCAGUUAACAUAAGCGAAUAUUGCGCGCAAAAGCCCUACGUGCGUAGGCAUGGCGGUGGGUGUGGAACAUCAAGCUGUUGGGUAGAAGGGCGAGGUGGCGAGGCCGCAGGUGCCCGUGGGCCAGUAGACGUCCUUGGCGAGGUAGAUGUAUCCCUGGACGCCCCAGUCGUUGCUCCACGAGUUCUUGGCAAUCCAAAACUUUUGACCGAACUGCUCGCAGUAGCCGACGAUGGUGACGGCGUGGUUCACCCUAUUGGCCUCGACGGAGCAGGGGCCACUGUAGAUGCCGC